AUUGAACGCUGGCGGCAGGCCUAACACAUGCAAGUCGAGCGAGCGGCGGACGGGUGAGUAAUGUCUGGGAAACUGCCUGAUGGAGGGGGAUAACUACUCGAAACGGUAGCUAAUACCGCAUACCAUCAGAUGUGCCCAGUUGGGAUUAGCUAGUAGGUGGGGUAACGGCUCACCUAGGCGACGAUCCCUAGCUGGUCUGAGAGGCUGACCCGCCACACUGGGACUGAGCCACGGUCCAGACUCCGACGGGAGGCAGCAGUGGGGAAUAUUGCACAAUGGGCGAAAGCCUGAUGCAGCCAUGCCGCGUGUGUGAAGAAGGCCUUCGGGUUGUAAAGCUCUUUUGUCGGGGAGGCGUUACCCGCAGAAGAAGCACCGGCUAACUCCGUGCCAGCAGCCGCGGUAAUAC
rnacentral:rRNA from 1 species